GCUGGUGCCGCGCGGUUCCCUGUCAGUGGCGCGCUCCACCGGCGCGCCGAGCGAGGGAGCAGUCGCGACUGUCCCGUCACGGAGCGCGGAGGCGCCGAUUCAUCUGUCGUCCGGCCCGUGGAAGAGGUGGUGACGCGUUGGCCGCUGCUCUUCGAAAGGCCCGUAGCCAACUCCAAGCGUGUCGACUUGGACGUGACAUCGCUGGCGCCGGCGCUGACCCUCAUUUUAGAAUUUUCCCAUCUGUUUCCUCUCCCAAAUUCUGACACGGAAUUUCGAGGACUGAUAUUGAAUUCCUAAGGUACAAUGGAUCCUUGCCGGCUCUUAGCCAUAUCUCUGCGUACCCGCACUGCGUGUCCCUUCUGGAGGACUCGGACAUUGCACUUCGUCUCCCAGGAAACUUUGCACGAGGGUGUUCUGCCGUGAAUGAAGUGGUCGACGGAAGUUCCACUCGAAGGGUGCCAGGACGUUCUGUAGAAGUAAGUGUUUAGACGCUUGAGCGGUCAGUUUCAUCGCAAGUUACACUCGACUGCGGCCAGCCAUGCAGCCGCUUUAACGACAUGACUUUACGCGAAUGCUUCGCAGCGAGAAAUUUUAUCCCAGAUGUCUAUUCACUCUGGUAGGCUAGAAUGAUCUGUUUUGCUUCUUGCCUGGUACAUAUCAUUUGAAAAAAUUUUACUUAAUCGUCACUACAUACUAGCGUGACUCGCCAUACAGUACGUCAGAACGAAAGUGAAAUAAACAAUGCGGUUGUAAUAGUCAUCUUCGUUUCGUCUAAGACGCCCCAAGCUAUAGGCAUUCUCGUUAGAAUUUUUUUUCUAAUUUCGCGAGCCGACGGUUGCAUUUAAGGCCCGGUCCUCACGGAUUCGCCGUUUUCUAUGUCGUAGGCGUUCAAGCUAUUAUUAACUGGCAUACCUAUACUCUUAGACAGCCGCGCGUUCUUUGUUGCCCCACAGAGUACAGGUCUCGCGUCCGUGUGUUCACCGGAAGCUUUUGUUUCUUGAAGCUGAAUUCAAUCGGUGCUGAAUUUACGUCUCUUACUGCACUGGACUUGCGAUGGAUCCCGCAUUCUGAUCACGAGCGCAACUGUCAGGCGACAGCGGGAUGAAUGGCACUGAGUGGAUGACCUCGAAAGAAGGAGGAACGUGACUUGGGACCCCCGCGCCCAUUGUUUAGCGAGAAAGAGAGAUUGCCAUUGCGAAAGGAAGGAAGAAGCAGGUGACAAAGCGCUGUGGUUUUGUGGGACGGCUGGUGACAUGCUGUCAACGGACGGGAACUAGAGGUGCGUGCCUGGACUUAGUAGCGUUUGCGCCGAACACUGAUUGCGGUGUCGGCCUCCUCUACCCCACGAGCGGCGUUAUUUUGAGCGCUGACGAACGAAGUUUGUGCUGGAUUUCUUUCCUUGAACACGACAAACUCCUUGGCAGAAAGAUUGAGCAACGCCGACUCUGGGAAAAAGAACUGACAGCCGUGACUGAACCAGAGUUAUGCGGUGGCGAUACUGGUUGGCUAACAAAGGGUCCUUCAGAAACUUCCACUAUCAUCACGUGAUGUCUUCGUCAACGGGCAACACCUGGAGGCGUCGAUUACCUCCCGAGGAGCAGCAGACG
rnacentral:lncRNA from 1 species